ACUCCUACGGGAGGCAGCAGUGGGGAAUUUUGGACAAUGGGCGAAAGCCUGAUCCAGCCAUGCCGCGUGCAGGAUGAAGGCCUUCGGGUUGUAAACUGCUUUUGUACGGAACGAAACGGCCUUUUCUAAUAAAGAGGGCUAAUGACGGUACCGUAAGAAUAAGCACCGGCUAACUACGUGCCAGCAGCCGCGGUAAUACGUAGGGUGCAAGCGUUAAUCGGAAUUACUGGGCGUAAAGCGUGCGCAGGCGGUUAUGUAAGACAGUUGUGAAAUCCCCGGGCUCAACCUGGGAACUGCAUCUGUGACUGCAUAGCUAGAGUACGGUAGAGGGGGAUGGAAUUCCGCGUGUAGCAGUGAAAUGCGUAGAUAUGCGGAGGAACACCGAUGGCGAAGGCAAUCCCCUGGACCUGUACUGACGCUCAUGCACGAAAGCGUGGGGAGCAAACAGGAUUAGAUACCCGAGUAGUCCCAUGA
rnacentral:rRNA from 1 species